rnacentral:rRNA from 1 species
UUAAUUGUCGUUGCCCGGGACGGGGCGCGGCGUUCCCACUGGUGACUCUGGAUAACUUUGUGCUGAUCGCUAUCCCUUACGUGCCGGCGACGCAUCUUUCAAAUGUCUGCCCUAUCAAAUGUCGAUGGUACGUGACAUGCCUACCAUGUUUGCCCCGGGUAACGGGGAAUCAGGGUUCGAUUCCGGAGAGGGAGCAGAAACGGCUACCACAUCCAAGGAAGGCAUCAGGCGCUCAAUUUA